AACAGCCAGACCUUCCGUCGGCGGGCUGGACGCACUUGACGACCUUCCGCGAGUUUGUUUUUUUUUUUUGCGGAGACGUGUGGCUGAAACGGUGGAUCCAUCCGGACGUGGGUCCGCGUCGAAAGGGGGGACCAAUACCAGGUGGCGGCGAAGGUGGCGGGACGGUUGUUAAUCUGGAUUUCCGGCAGGUUCAUUGUUAAAGUGGCGGUGAGGCGGUGGAAGAGGUGAUGACUGAGGUUCAGCGCCAGACAAACACUGGAGAAUGUGGAACCAGGAGGGAAGAUGACACAAACUAGAGCCUGACCUGUAUCUUAGAAAAUGGAAACAUCUGG